GCUAAUGCUUCUUUUGUCCAUAGCAUUCCUAUGGAGCUGCCAAGCCGAAAAUAACACGAAAACUAACUGUCAUUUCGACUAAGCAAAAGAAAAACGAAAGCGACAAAUUUCAUCUUCUCGCGAGAUUACAUCACAACGUAGUGGGGUUGGGUUAUGUGUUGUCGUGGCCGUACCUGCCAGUAAAUGGACUGCCUAAUGGUCCUAACGCCUUACAAAAAUUCCGAACAAGUCCGAACGGAGGUUCGAACAUAUUCCUAACAAGAUCAAAGAGUUUCUAGCGAGGUCCGAACAUGAGUCCAAACCAGGUCCGAACAGAUCCAAACCAAACCAUGGACUGAACGGGUCACGUGACGUAAGGGGGCGUGCGUAAAAAGUUUGGUUUUGCCGCCAUGUUUUUUCCACCGCUGUAGCACAACAUUAGAGAGAAGAUGACCAAGACAGGAAAGCCAGAUAGUUACUGGAGGGACAUCUGUUUCAGAGGAUGAGGAGCUAGUGUCAAGGGGGGAACCACCAAAGAACAGGCUGGCAAAGGAAAAGUACCAUUACACCUGCAAGCAGUGUGGCCAGGACAAAAGUAAAAGGACUGGACACACCCAGAUGAAGGGUCGAUGGUAUUGUCCAGCCUCAGGACUGACCCUGGAUGAAUGGAGGAAGACUUUACAGUAAAUGCUGUCACUGUGACUUGUUCUCCCAUUUUAUGUCUCUGUUUGUCUGUCUGUUGGACAGUUUGUGAGACAGUGUUCAUUGCACGCUGCAAUAAAGUUUUAAUAUAUUUGUUUGAGCCAAAA